rnacentral:tRNA from 7 species
GGAGUGGUGCGAGAGCGGCCGAAUCGGGCUCCCUGCUAAGGAGUUGUGCCCUUACGGGUACCGGGGGUUCGAAUCCCCCCUACUCCG